rnacentral:rRNA from 1 species
GAUGAACGCUGGCGGCGUGCCUAAUACAUGCAAGUCGAGCGAACAGAUGAGGAGCUUGCUCCUCUGACGUUAGCGGCGGACGGGUGAGUAACACGUGGAUAACCUACCUAUAAGACUGGGAUAACUUCGGGAAACCGGAGCUAAUACCGGAUAAUAUAUUGAACCGCAUGGUUCAAUAGUGAAAGACGGUUUUGCUGUCACUUAUAGAUGGAUCCGCGCCGCAUUAGCUAGUUGGUAAGGUAACGGCUUACCAAGGCGACGAUGCGUAGCCGACCUGAGAGGGUGAUUGGCCACACUGGAACUGAGACACGGUCCAGACUCCUACGGGAGGCAGCAGUAGGGAAUCUUCCGCAAUGGGCGAAAGCCUGACGGAGCAACGCCGCGUGAGUGAUGAAGGUCUUCGGAUCGUAAAACUCUGUUAUUAGGGAAGAACAAAUGUGUAAGUAACUAUGCACGUCUUGACGGUACCUAAUCAGAAAGCCACGGCUAACUACGUG